AGGGACUUAGGAUAACAUUCUAGAACCAAGAGCCUUCAAAGCUCUAAGCAGAAGUGAAAAUCUUCUAGUCCCUG
rnacentral:tRNA from 1 species